UACAGAGGUCCCGAGCGUUGUUCGGAUUCACUGGGCGUAAAGGGUGCGUAGGUGGUGAGGUAAGUCGGAUGUGAAAUCUCCGGGCUUAACCCGGAAAUGGCAUUGGAAACUACCUUGCUAGAGGAUUUGAGGGGGGAUUGGAAUACUUGGUGUAGCAGUGAAAUGCGUAGAUAUCAAGAGGAACACCAGUGGCGAAGGCGAGUCCCUGGACAAACCCUGACACUGAGGCACGAAAGCCAAGGGAGCAAACAGG
rnacentral:rRNA from 1 species